AUAGAAUUCUCCGAGCCUGCCCGCCUACGGCAAACGCUAUGGCGGCCGGGCCAGGGUCCCGCUGGAAACGGCCGGGCCUUCCAUGCUUGAAAAGGAGAGGA
rnacentral:ncRNA from 1 species